UACGGGGGGAGCAAGCGUUGUUCGGAAUCAUUGGGCGUAAAGGGCGUGUAGGCGGUUUGUUAAGUCAUGUGUGAAAUCCCUCGGCUCAACCGGGGAACGACGCAUGAAACUGGCAAGCUAGAGUACCAAAGAGGGGGGUGGAAUUCCCGGUGUAGCGGUGAAAUGCGUAGAUAUCAGGAGGAACACCGGUGGCGAAGGCGGGUCUCUGGGCAACAACUGACGCUGAGGAGCGAAAGCGUGGGGAGCGAACAGG
rnacentral:rRNA from 1 species